rnacentral:lncRNA from 1 species
GAAACGGAUUAAAGCACUUUAUUGGGGGGGGGGUGGGGGGGGGGGGGGCUCCUGUGGGGCACACAGGGGUGCUAUGGGGCACACAGGGGCACUAGGGGGCACCCAUGGGUGCUAUGGGGACAACCAGGGGUCGCUAUGGGGGUUUCAUCAACACACAAACAAUAGGACUGAUGGCCUUCCCCCAUUGACUCGACCCAACAUUGGCCAUGGGGCAGCUGUGGGGCACACAGGGAUGCUAUGGGGCACAGAGAGAUGCUAUGGGGCAGCUAUGGGGACAACCAGGGGUUGCUAUGGGGUUUCAUCAACACACAAACAAUAGGAUUGAUGGCCUUCCCCCAUUGGGUUGACCCAACGUUGGCCAUGGGGCAGCUAUGGGGCACACAGGGAUGCUAUGGGGCAGCUAUGGGGCAGCUAUGGGGACAACCAGGGAUCGCUAUGGGGCUCUCCAACACAAAACAACCGGACUGAUGGCCUUCCCCCAUUGACUCAACCCAACGUUGGCCAUGGGGCAGCUGUGGGACACCUAUGGGGCACAGAGAGAUGCUAUAGGGCAGCUAUGGGGCAGCUAUGGGGACAACCAGGGAUCACUAUGGGGUUCCAUCAACACACAAACAAUAGGACUGAUGGCCUUCCCCCAUUGCCUCAACCCAACCCAAGACCCAACGAGGGCCAUGGGGCAGCUAUGGGUGCUAUGGGGACACCUCAAAGACAACCAGGGGCUGCUAUGGGCUCUCCUUAACAGAUAAACAAUGGGACUGAUGGCCUUCCCCCAUUGGGUUGACCCAACGUUGGCCAUGGGGCACCCAUGGGGCAGCUAUGGGGCAGCUAUGGGGACAAGCAGGGAUCCCUAUGGCCUUCCCCCAUUGCCUCAACCCAACCAAUCCCCCCCCCCAAUCCCCCACCCCCCAUCAUCUCCCACCCCCCCAUCAUCCCCCCAUCCCAACUUGUGGGUCGCUUCAUGGGGGGGGUUAUGGGGUUAUGGGGGGUUAUGGGUCCCCCUUCGUCCCCCCAUCCCAACUUGUGGGUCGUGUAAUGGGGGAGGGUUACGGGGGGGUUAUGGGUCCCCCUUCAUCCCCCCACCCCAACUCCUGGGUCGCUUAAGGGGGGGGUUAUGGGGUUAUGGGGGGGUUAUGGGGGGGUUAUGGGUCCCCCUUCAUCCCCCCAUCCCAACUCGUGGGUCGCUUAAUGGGGGGGGGGGGGGGUUAUGGGGGGGUUAUGGGUCCCCCUUCGUCCCCCCACCCCAACUCGUGGGUCGCUUCAUGGGGGGGUUAUGGGGUUAUGGGGGGGUUGUGGGGGGGUUAUGGGUCCCCCUUCAUCCCCCCACCCCGACUCGUGGGUCGCUUAAGGGGGGGGUUAUGGGGGGGUUAUGGGUCCCUCUUCAUCCCCCCAUCCUGACUCGUGGGUCGCUUAAGGGGGGGGGGUUAUGGGUUUAUGGGGGGGUUAUGGGGGGGUUAUGGGGGGGUUAUGGGUCCCCCUUCGUCCCCCCACCCCAACUCGUGGGUCGCUUAAGGGGGGGGUUAUGGGGUUAUGGGGGGGUUGUGGGGGGGUUAUGGGUCCCCCUUCAUCCUCCCCCCCAACUCGUGGGUCACUUAAGGGGGGGGGUUAUGGGGUUAUGGGGGGGAUAUGUGGGGGUUAUGGGUCCCCCUUCGUACCCCCACCCCGACUCGUGGGUCGCUUCACAGGGGGGGGGUUAUGGAGGGGUUAUGGGGGGGUUAUGGGGGGGUUAUGGGUCCCCCUUCGUCCCCCCACCCCAACUCGUGGGUCACUUAAGGGGGGGUUAUGGGGGGUUAUGGGGUGGUUAUGGGGGGGUUAUGGGGGGGUUAAGGGGGGGUUCUGGGGCGGUUCGGGUCGCGGGGCUCAGCUGAUGUAGACGCGGUGGAAGUCGUGGGCCCCGAAGGCGGCGUUGCAUUUGGGGCACUUCCUCUGGCGGGUGUCGUAGCGGCUCUUGACGCACUCGAAGCAGAAGACGUGGAAGCAUUUGGUCAGCACCGCGUCCUUCUUGCGCGCGUUGCAGCACGGGCACGUCAGGCGGGCCUAUGGGGGGGGGGGGGGGGG